UUAGCCAAUCCCAUAAAUCUGUUCUCAGUUUGGAUCGCAGUCUGCAACUCGACUGCGUGAAGCUGGAAUCGCUAGUAAUCGCGGAUCAGCAUGCCGCGGUGAAUACGUUCCCGGGCCUUGUACACACCGCCCGUCACACCACGAGAGUUUGCAACACCCGAAGUCGGUGAGGUAACCUUUAUGGAGCCAGCCGCCGAAGGUGGGC
rnacentral:rRNA from 1 species